UACGUAGGGGGCAAGCGUUGUCCGGAUUCAUUGGGCGUAAAGAGCGUGUAGGCGGCCAGGUAGGUCGGUUGUGAAAACUGGAGGCUCAACCUUCAGAGGUCGACCGAAACCAUCUGGCUAGAGUCCGGGAGAGGAGAGUGGAAUUCCUGGUGUAGCGGUGAAAUGCGUAGAUAUCGGAAGGAACAUCAGUGGCGAAAGCGGCUUCCUGGACCAGAACUGACGAUCAGGCACGAAAGCGUGGGGAGCAAACAGG
rnacentral:rRNA from 1 species